rnacentral:rRNA from 1 species
UACGUAGGGCGCAAGCGUUGUCCGGAAUUAUUGGGCGUAAAGAGCUGGUAGGCGGCUUGUCACGUCGGAUGUGAAAGCCCGGGGCUUAACUCCGGGUCUGCAUUCGAUACGGGCUGGCUAGAGUGUGGUAGGGGAGAUCGGAAUUCCUGGUGUAGCGGUGAAAUGCGCAGAUAUCAGGAGGAACACCGGUGGCGAAGGCGGAUCUCUGGGCCGAUACUGACGCUGAGGAGCGAAAGCGUGGGGAGCGAACAGG